rnacentral:rRNA from 1 species
AUUGAACGCUGGCGGCAUGCUUUACACAUGCAAGUCGAACGGUAACAGGCCUUCGGGUGCUGACGAGUGGCGAACGGGUGAGUAAUGCAUCGGAACGUGCCCAGAGGUGGGGGAUAACGCAGCGAAAGCUGUGCUAAUACCGCAUGUGAUCUGAGGAUGAAAGCGGGGGACCAAGCAGCAAUGUUUGGCCUCGCGCCUCUGGAGCGGCCGAUGUCAGAUUAGGUAGUUGGUGGGGUAAAGGCCUACCAAGCCGACGAUCUGUAGCUGGUCUGAGAGGACGACCAGCCACACUAGGACUGAGACACGGCCCAGACUCCUACGGGAGGCAGCAGUGGGGAAUUUUGGACAAUGGGCGCAAGCCUGAUCCAGCAAUGCCGCGUGCGGGAAGAAGGCCUUCGGGUUGUAAACCGCUUUUGUACGGAACGAAAAGGCUCUGGCUAAUACCUGGGGCUGAUGACGGUACCGUAAGAAUAAGCACCGGCUAACUACGUG